AUGUCGGGUAAGCUUGUUCAUCUUGAACGCGCAUAUUGUACGCGCGCAGCAAUUGGUACAUCAAUCGCCAAGAGCUCCUCCGGCCUCGUUCCCAUGGGGGAAGGCGCGGCUGCUGCCUCCUCUGCUCCACGGCUCCCUCCCCUCCCGUCCGUCAGCGCCGCGGUAGCUCCUCCGGCUUCGUCUCCAUGUGGGAAGGCCCGGCUGCUGCUGCCUCAUCCGCUCGCGCACCGCCAUCUUCAUGUCCGUCGGCCUCGCCGACAGCUGCGCCGGCCUCGUCUCCAUGGGAAGGAAGACGCGGGCUGCUGCCUACUCCGCCCCCGCGCCGCCGUUUGCCGUGGCCGGCAUCUGAGGGUGUGGGAGUUCGGCCUGGAGUUCUCCUCCGGCUCGCUGGAUCUGACGAGAGUCAAGGGUGUGGAGAGUUCGAGAGAAGGGAGCAGAGUGAGCUGA
rnacentral:rRNA from 1 species